GGACUACAGGGGUUUCUAAUCCGUUUUGCUCCCCACGCUUUCGUGCCUCAAUGUCAGAAGCAGAAUAGUUAACUGCCUUCGCCUUUGGUGUUCAUCUGUAUAUCUUCUCAUUUUACCGAUACACACAGAGUUCCGUUAACCUCUCCUGUUCUCUAGCAAAAUAGUAUUAAUAAUUUCCGCGAAGUUGAGCUUCGAUUUACCACUAUUAACUUAAUUUGCCAUCUACGCACCCUUUACGCCCAAUAAAUCCGGAUAACGUUUGCAACCUAUGUCUUACCGCGGCUGCUGGCAC
rnacentral:rRNA from 1 species